rnacentral:rRNA from 1 species
ACCUUUCGGGGUUGAGUGGCGGACGGGUGAGUAACGCGUGAGAAUCUGCCUUUUGGUCGGGGACAACCACUGGAAACGGUGGCUAAUACCGGAUGUGCCUUUAGGGGUGAAAGAUUAAUUGCCAGAAGAAGAGCUCGCGUCUGAUUAGCUAGUUGGUGAGGUAAAGGCUCACCAAGGCGGCGAUCAGUAGCUGGUCUGAGAGGAUGACCAGCCACACUGGGACUGAGACACGGCCCAGACUCCUACGGGAGGCAGCAGUGGGGAAUUUUCCGCAAUGGGCGAAAGCCUGACGGAGCAAUACCGCGUGAGGGAGGAAGGCUCUUGGGUUGUAAACCUCUUUUAUCAGGGAAGAACCAAAUGACGGUACCUGAAGAAUCAGCAUCGGCUAACUCCGUGCCAGCAGCCGCGGUAAUACGGAGGAUGCAAGCGUUAUCCGGAAUUAUUGGGCGUAAAGCGUCCGCAGGUGGCUCAUCAAGUCUGCUGUCAAAGGCAGGGGCUUAACCCCUGAAAGGCAGUGGAAACUGGAGAGCUAGAGUGCAGUAGGGGUAGAGGGAAUUCCCGGUGUAGCGGUGAAAUGCGUAGAGAUCGGGAAGAACAUCGGUGGCGAAAGCGCUCUGCUGGACUGCAACUGACACUAAAGGACGAAAGCUAGGGGAGCGAAUGGGAUUAGAUACCCCAGUAGUCCUAGCCGUAAACGAUGGAUACUA